CUACGGGAGGCUGCAGUGGGGAAUAUUGCACAAUGGGCGCAAGCCUGAUGCAGCCAUGCCGCGUAUAUGAAGAAGGCCUUCGGGUUGUAAAGUACUUUCAGCGGGGAGGAAGGGAGUAAAGUUAAUACCUUUGCUCAUUGACGUUACCCGCAGAAGAAGCACCGGCUAACUCCGUGCCAGCAGCCGCGGUAAUACGGAGGGGGCAAGCGUUAAUCGGAAUUACUGGGCGUAAAGCACACGCAGGCGGUUUGUUAAGUCAGAUGUGAAAUCCCCGGGCUCAACCUGGGAACUGCAUCUGAUACUGGCAAGCUUGAGUCUCGUAGAGGGGGGUAGAAUUCCAGGUGUAGCGGUGAAAUGCGUAGAGAUCUGGAGGAAUACCGGUGGCGAAGGCGGCCCCCUGGACGAAGACUGACGCUCAGGUGCGAAAGCGUGGGGAGCAAACAGGAUUAGAUACCCUUGUAGUC
rnacentral:rRNA from 1 species